AUUGAACGCUGGCGGCAUGCCCUACACAUGCAAGUCGAACGGCAGCACGGGGCAACCUGGUGGCGAGUGGCGAACGGGUGAGUAAUGCAUCGGAACGUGCCAUUGAGUGGGGGAUAACGUAGCGAAAGUUGCGCUAAUACCGCAUAUUCUGUGAGCAGGAAAGCAGGGGACCGCAAGGCCUUGCGCUCUUUGAGCGGCCGAUGUCAGAUUAGCUAGUUGGUGAGGUAACGGCUUACCAAGGCGACGAUCUGUAGCGGGUCUGAGAGGAUGAUCCGCCACACUGGAACUGAGACACGGUCCAGACUCCUACGGGAGGCAGCAGUGGGGAAUUUUGGACAAUGGGCGCAAGCCUGAUCCAGCCAUGCCGCGUGAGUGAAGAAGGCCUU
rnacentral:rRNA from 1 species